rnacentral:rRNA from 1 species
CCUACGGGAGGCAGCAGUGAGGAAUAUUGGUCAAUGGACGAGAGUCUGAACCAGCCAAGUAGCGUGAAGGAUGACUGCCCUAUGGGUUGUAAACUUCUUUUAUAUGGGAAUAAAACGUUCCACGUGUGGGAUUUUGUAUGUACCAUAUGAAUAAGGAUCGGCUAACUCCGUGCCAGCAGCUGCGGUAAUACGGUGGAUCCUAGCGUUAUCCGGAUUUAUUGGGAUUAAAGGGAGCGUAGGUGGAUUGUUAAGGCGGUUGUGAAAGUUUGCGGCUCAACCGUAAAAUUGCAGUUGAAACAUGCAGUCUUGAGUACAGUAGAGGUGAGCGGAAUUCGUGGUGUAGCGGUGAAAUGCUUAGAUAUCACGAAGAACGCCGAUUGCGAAGGCAGUUCACUGGACUGCAACUGACACUGAGGCUCGAAAGUGUGGGUAUCAAACAGGAUUAGAGACCCCAGUAGUC